CAUCUCUAAUGUUUUGUUGGUUGUGUCAGAAGGGAUCAAUGAUUAAUGAAGCUGCUUAGACUGCAUUUCUCUUUUCUAGCAUUUUUCCAUGUGCCAGGGAUCAUAUUUGAUAUUGUACUGAAAUAAUAGCGGAGUAUUCUAAUGAAAAGGCUAGCAAUACUCAUGGAAAACUCACUGCUCUUGUUUAAUUUUAUUUAUGCAGUCAACAUUUUGAUCAAAGGAUUCUCACGUGCUAGAAAACUAUACUCACAUAAAACUGACUAUUGGUCUAUGGAACUGGAGGCACAACCAUGUUGACAAGCUGGCAUCUCUUUGUUCUAUUCUAUUGACUUCAUGUGGCAUUAUGUAUGAAGCCCUUAAAGCACAAACCUUUGGACGCAAGGACCGUCAUGGGAUUUGGAGUGCUCAAUGGCAUCUUAAUUGGACUUCUCAAUCAGAGUCUAGGUUUCAACUCUGUUGGUUUCUAUCAGAUCUACGGGGUUCUCGGCUGGCUGGGAAGACUUGACAAGAGGCACAGGUGGAUUACUACUUCCUUGGAUGUUUUCAGAAAAUAAGUGAAAUGUGCAGACCGACAACAUGGACGGCAGGUCUUGCGGCUCCCAGCGCCCUCAACCCCCCACUGACCCUCUCUCAAUUUUGAUCUCUCCUCUACUCUUCUGGGUGGCGGUGAGAGCGGGUGUGAAACGGGAGAGGCGGCCAUAGGAGGUAUAUGAUAGGAAAAGAAUUGCUCUAUGGCAGUGCUUUGACUCGGUGACCAGAGACUGACUGGGUG